GACGAACGCUGGCGGCGUGCUUAACACAUGCAAGUCGAGCGGUAAGGCCCUUUCGGGGGUACACGAGCGGCGAACGGGUGAGUAACACGUGGGUGACCUGCCCUUAGCUCUGGGAUAAGCCUGGGAAACUGGGUCUAAUACCGGAUAUGACUCCAUGACGCAUGUUGUGGGGUGGAAAGCCUUGUGCGGCUAGGGAUGGGCCUGCGGCCUAUCAGCUUGUUGGUGGGGUGAUGGCCUACCAAGGCGACGACGGGUAGCCGGCCUGAGAGGGCGACCGGCCACACUGGGACUGAGACGCGGCCCAGACUCCUACGGGAGGCAGCAGUGGGGAAUCUUGCGCAAUGGGCGAAAGCCUGACGCAGCGACGCCGCGUGGGGAUGACGGCCUCGG
rnacentral:rRNA from 1 species